UACGUAGGGGUGCGAGCGUUGUCCGGAAUUAUUGGGCGUAAAGAGCUCGUAGGCGGUCUGUCGCGUCGGCUGUGGAAAACCCGGAGCUCAACUCCGGGCCUGCAGUCGAUACGGGCAGACUGGAGUUCGGCAGGGGAGACUGGAAUUCCUGGUGGUAGCGGUGAAAUGCGCAGAUAUCAGGAGGAACACCGGUGGCGAAGGCGGGUCUCUGGGCCGUAACUGACGCUGAGGAGCGGAAAGCGUGGGGAGCGAACAGG
rnacentral:rRNA from 1 species